GCCACCUCUGAUAUUAACAAAUUACCACGUGGCAACUUUAUACAAAAUACGGUGACGAUUUGUGUAGCAAAGGUACCGUAUGGUAAUAUGUAAAAUGAUCACCCAAUAAUGUAUGAAGUUGCCACCCUAUCACUAACAUAUUAACACGUGGCAACUUUAUAUAAAAUACGAUGGCAAUUUGUGUAUCAAAUGUACCAUGCAUCCGAUAAUACGUAAAGUCACCACCUAAUAAUAUGCGAAGUUGCAACCAUAUUAGUAACAAACUACCAUAUCAUAACUUCCGCAUAUAAAAUAUGGUGGCGUUUUGUACAUCAAAGUUAACAUUUAAUAAUUAAGAUGCAUGUCAACUAGGUAAUGCACCGCAUGGCAAUUAGAACCAAACAAUAUGGCAACUACGUAGCACGUGACAUGGCAACUAGGUAGUACGGGAAGCACACGACAUGGCAACUAAGACCAAACAACAACAUGCCAAUUAUGACAUAAAAAUAUGACGGCUAGUUCAACACCAUCUCACAUUGACAUCAUCUUAAUUAGUCAUCAACACCAUGCAUGCAAGGGUUGCCUCAUGUGACAUGGUGAAACUUUUGACGCCAUAUAUUUAGGAAAUCGGGAGAGAUAUUUAUGCAUCUUACAUAAAAAAACGAAAAAAGUAAUUGCUAUCGUAAUGUCAACUUCUUAAAUAAUCUAGUGGUAAUUCAUGCAUCAUGACAUGGUUAAAGGAGUCCAAAAAAUCUAUGCUAAAACAUUAGGAGAUUUUAAAUUUUGAAAAUCAACUCGGUGCGUUUCCCCCCCGGUUGUUGUCCAGCAUCAUCAUUUUUCUUCAAUUCGAGCUUUUAGCAACAAAAAAAAAAUGGCACAUGCAAUCGCACUGGAGAAGCCAGCAUGCAGGAGCAAAAAAAGAAAAAAAGAAAUGCAUGCAACGAGAGCUGCAGGCUGACGUGAGCUCAUUAUAAUUUCCGAAACAGAAAAGGAAAAAAAAUGCCUUAUAUCUGCAUCGCGAAUUUAAUUACGGAGUACAAAGGCAGGGUGGGCUGGCGGACCAAACAAAGCAGGUAACGUAAAUUGUGAUAAUAACGAAAAGAAUCGGUACGAAUUCCCUCGAAAGGAAA
rnacentral:lncRNA from 1 species